UGUUGCCUCGGCGGAUCAGCCCGCUCCCGGUAAAACGGGACGGCCCGCCAGAGGACCCCUAAACUCUGUUUCUAUAUGUAACUUCUGAGUAAAACCAUAAAUAAAUCAAAACUUUCAACAACGGAUCUCUUGGUUCUGGCAUCGAUGAAGAACGCAGCAAAAUGCGAUAAGUAAUGUGAAUUGCAGAAUUCAGUGAAUCAUCGAAUCUUUGAACGCACAUUGCGCCCGCCAGUAUUCUGGCGGGCAUGCCUGUUCGAGCGUCAUUUCAACCCUCAAGCCCAGCUUGGUGUUGGGACUCGCGAGUUAAAUCGCGUUCCCCAAAUUGAUUGGCGGUCACGUCGAGCUUCCAUAGCGUAGUAGUAAAACCCUCGUUACUGGUAAUCGUCGCGGCCACGCCGUUAAACCCCAACUUCUGAAUGUUGACCUCGGAUCAGGUAGGAAUACCCGCUGAACUUAA
rnacentral:rRNA from 1 species